rnacentral:rRNA from 1 species
UACGGGGGGGAGCAAGCGUUUGUUCGGAUUUACUGGGCGUAAAGGGCGCGUAGGCGGCCACCGCAAGUCGACUGUGAAAUCUCCGGGCUUAACCCGGAAAGGUCAGCCGAUACUGCGGGGCUAGAGUGCAGAAGGGGCAACUGGAAUUCUCGGUGUAGCGGUGAAAAUGCGUAGAUAUCGAGAGGAACACCUGCGGCGAAGGCGGGUUGCGUGGGCUGAGCACUGACGCUGGAGGCGCGAAACGCCUAGGGGAGCGAACGGG